GGACCCUACGGGACGCAGCAGUGAGGAAUAUUGGUCAAUGGGCUUACGCCUGAACCAGCCAAGUCGCGUGAGGGAAGACUGCCGUAUGGGUUGUAAAUCUCUUUUGUCAGGGAGCAACGCCGGCUACGUGUAGCCGGACUGAGAGUACCUGAAGAAAAAGCAUCGGCUAACUCCGUGCCAGCAGCCGCGGUAAUACGGAGGAUCCGAGAGUUAUCCGGAUUCAUUGGGUUUAAAGGGUGCGUAGGUUGUUUUAUAAGUUAGCGGUGAAAUACCGAUGAUCAACAUCGGGGCU
rnacentral:rRNA from 1 species